rnacentral:lncRNA from 1 species
CAAAGUAGAGCGUCUGGAUGAGAAGUGAUAUGAAACUGGUAAUUUAUAACAUUCGGAAUAGUAUCGGCUUUUUAAACUUGUUGUUAGAGAUAAUGUCCAAGACGAAUAACCAAGAAGUUGGUUAUUGACUUCAGAAGAAAUGACAUUACGAUAAUAUUAUUGCAAAGCCCGAGUGUACCGAUUGUUGUUGAAUGCUAUUUAUAUAUUUUUGUGACGAC